rnacentral:rRNA from 1 species
AUUGAACGCUGGCGGCAGGCCUAACACAUGCAAGUCGAACGAGUGGCGGACGGGUGAGUAAUGUCUGGGAAACUGCCCGAUGGCGGGGGAUAACUACUGGAAACGGUAGCUAAUACCGCAUACCAUCGGAUGUGCCCAGAUGGGAGUAGCUUGUAGGUGAGGUAACGGCUCACCUAGGAGACGAUCCCUAGCUGGUCUGCGAGGAUGACCAGCGACACUGGAACUGAGACACGGUCCAGACUCCUACGGGAGGCAGCAGGGGUGAAUAUUGCACAAUGGGCGCAAGCCGGAUGCAGCCAUGCCGCGGGUAUGAAGAAGGCUUUCGGGUUGUAUAGUACUUUCAGCGGGGAGGCUUUACCCGCAGAAGAAGGACGGGCUAACUCCGUGCCAGCAGCCGCGGUAGUUC